rnacentral:misc_RNA from 1 species
GAUGAAGAACGUAGCGAAAUGCGAUAAGUAAUGUGAAUUGCAGAAUUCAGUGAAUCAUCGAAUCUUUGAACGCACCUUGCGCUCCUUGGUAUUCCUUGGAGCAUGCCUGUUUGAGUAUCAUGAAAUUCUCAAAGUAAAUCUUUUUGUUAAUUCAAUUAGGUUCACUUUGGAUUUGGAGGUUUUUUGCAGCUUCACACCUGCUCCUCUUUGUGCAUUAGCUGGAUCUCAGUGUUAUGCGUGGUUCCACUCGGCGUGAUAAGUUAUCUAUCGCUGAGGACACUUUUUUGUUUUUUUCUAAAAAAAUAAAAUAACUAAGUGGCCAAGGGAAAUGCAGAUGAACCGCUUCCAAUAGUCCAUUAGCUUGGACAAAUAUAUUUUUAUGAUCUGAUCUCAAAUCAGGUAGGACUACCCGCUGAACUUAAGCAUAUCAAUAAGCGGAGGA